CAGCAGCCGCGGUAAUACAGAGGGUGCGAGCGUUAAUCGGAUUUACUGGGCGUAAAGCGUGCGUAGGCGGCUUCUUAAGUCGGAUGUGAAAUCCCUGAGCUUAACUUAGGAAUUGCAUUCGAUACUGGGAAGCUAGAGUAUGGGAGAGGAAGGUAGAAUUCCAGGUGUAGCGGUGAAAUGCGUAGAGAUCUGGAGGAAUACCGAUGGCGAAGGCAGCCAUCUGGCCUAAUACUGACGCUGAGGUACGAAAGCAUGGGGAGCAAACAGGAUUAGAUACCCCAGUAGUCCCUGUCUCUUAUAC
rnacentral:rRNA from 1 species